GAUGAACGCUAGCGGCAGGCCUAAUACAUGCAAGUCGAACGGUGUCUUCGGACAUAGUGGCGCACGGGUGCGUAACACGUAUGCAACCUACCUUACAUUGGGGGAUAGCCUUUCGAAAGGGAGAUUAAUACCGCAUAAGACAGUAGCUGGGCAUCCAGCAGCUGUUAAAGAUUUAUCGAUGUAAGCUGGGCAUGCGUCCAAUUAGCUAGUUGGUGAGGUAACGGCUCACCAAGGCAAUGAUUGGUAGGGGAACUGAGAGGUCAGUCCCCCACACUGGCACUGGGAUACGGGCCAGAAUCCUACGGGAGGAAGCAGUAGGGAAUAUUGGGCAAUGGACGCAAGUCUGACCCAGCCAUGCCGCGUGCAGGAUGAAGGCGUUAUGCGUUGUAAACUGCUUUUAUACAGGAAGAAACGACUCUUGCGAGAGGCAUUGACGGUACUGUAUGAAUAAGCACCGGCUAACUCCGUGCCAGCCGCCGCCGUAAUAC
rnacentral:rRNA from 1 species